UGGUUUCACAUCUUCCUUAGCUUCGUGAUUUAAGUCAUUUUUAUUUUGCAGACAAAUACAAGUGUUGCCAGUUCUCCUAGAACGUUCUUCUUGUCGCAAAUUUCUGGGAUCUUAUUGGACAUGCUAAAUGUCUACAAAAUGAAUAGUGAGCUUAUAUCAAGUAGCAUUGCAGAAGGUGUGCCUUUUGCAUCUAAAACAUCAUAUGUGAAACGUCUGCUGUAAAACCAAUGAUUUGGAAUUAGUUUCUGAUUGGUUUAAGUUAAUUGUUUGUUGUUUUCUUAAUUUACUGUCAAUUGGGCAGCUCUGUUAAUCUGGAGACUCUGAAGCUCAUUGAGACAUUCUUGGACAAGGCUGAAGAUCAACCCCAGAUCGGACAACAGUUUGUGCCCCCAGUGAUGGAUCCUGUUCUUGGUGACUAUGCUAGGAACUUACCUGAUGCUAGAGAGUCAGAAGUUUUAUCCCUUUUUGCAAUGUCCCUUUUUUUUCCUUUAAGGUUGAAUUAGACUGAUGGAUUAUUUGUCACAUGAGGAGACAGUCUUGUAUUCUGACUAAUCUCUAUAGAAUAUUAAAAUUUUUUACUCACA